rnacentral:tRNA from 1 species
GGCUUGGUGGCUAAGCGGUAAAGUGCUUGGCUUCCGAACCGGAUGUCCCGGGUUCGAAUCCUGGUGAAGCCU